UACGAAGGGAGCUAGCGUUGUUCGGAAUCACUGGGCGUAAAGCGCACGUAGGCGGACUUGUCAGUCAGGGGUGAAAUCCCGGGGCUCAACCUUGGAACUGCCUUUGAUACUGACUGUCUUGAGUUCGGGAGAGGUGAGUGGAAUGCCGAGUGUAGAGGUGAAAUUCGUAGAUAUUCGGCGGAACACCAGUGGCGAAGGCGACUCACUGGCCCGAUACUGACGCUGAGGCGCGAAAGCGUGGGGAGCAAACAGG
rnacentral:rRNA from 1 species